GUAUCUAUAGUUAAAUUGUAAUAACAUUAAAUUGCAAGUUUAAAGGUGUAUAUUGUUACUAGGUACU
rnacentral:tRNA from 1 species